rnacentral:lncRNA from 1 species
UGGGGGGAUACAGAGAUAGGCAGACACCUAGUGAGGUGUGGCCUGUUGCUCAGGCUGGCCCCAACUCAGGUGGGGUGAGCAAAGUCGGGUUAUGAUUGCUCAGAUUCGACUCCCCAAGAACAGUCCUCAGGUGGGAUUCUUGCGGGGGCAGGGAUCGAGUCAAACCUUGGAAAUGACGUCAUUCUGAACUCAUCUGCCUUUAUCCAGAAGACUACCAAAGCAAACCAGAGGACCAGAGAACAGCAGCUGCUCUGGACAAAGAGGGGAGGACACCCACACCCACAUACCAAGUUCUGGUUGACUUCUACAGCAGAAGAAGCAGGAGACACAAGAAGGUAGCCACUCCUAUUCGUGGGGAGGGACCAGGUUUCAUAUGGGCCUUUUCUUUGGUUGGAACAGGAGAUGUUCACGAUGGAAGAAAACAGAAUAAUUCAGUAAACACCUCGACCCACAUCCCCCAAAUAAAUGAUCACUUUUACA